GUGAACGCUGGCGGUAGGCCUAACACAUGCAAGUCGAACGGCAGCACAGUAAGAGCUUGCUCUUACGGGUGGCGAGUGGCGGACGGGUGAGGAAUACAUCGGAAUCUACUUUUUCGUGGGGGAUAACGUAGGGAAACUUACGCUAAUACCGCAUACGACCUACGGGUGAAAGCAGGGGAUCUUCGGACCUUGCGCGAUUGAAUGAGCCGAUGUCGGAUUAGCUAGUUGGCGGGGUAAAGGCCCACCAAGGCGACGAUCCGUAGCUGGUCUGAGAGGAUGAUCAGCCACACUGGAAGUGAGACACGGUCCAGACUCCUACGGGAGGCAGCAGUGGGGAAUAUUGGACAAUGGGCGCAAGCCUGAUCCAGCCAUACCGCGUGGGUGAAGAAGGCCUUCGGGUUGUAAAGCCCUUUUGUUGGGAAAGAAAAGCAGCAGGUUAAUACCCCGCUGUUCUGACGGUACCCAAAGAAUAAGCACCGGCUAACUUCGUG
rnacentral:rRNA from 1 species